AGUGAACGCUGGCGGUAGGCCUAACACAUGCAAGUCGAACGGCAGCACAGUAAGAGCUUGCUCUUACGGGUGGCGAGUGGCGGACGGGUGAGGAAUACAUCGGAAUCUACUUUUUCGUGGGGGAUAACGUAGGGAAACUUACGCUAAUACCGCGUACGACCUACGGGUGAAAGCAGGGGAUCUUCGGACCUUGCGCGAUUGAAUGAGCCGAUGUCGGAUUAGCUAGUUGGCGGGGUAAAGGCCCACCAAGGCGACGAUCCGUAGCUGGUCUGAGAGGAUGAUCAGCCACACUGGAACUGAGACACGGUCCAGACCCCUACGGGAGGCAGCAGUGGGGAAUAUUGGACAAUGGGCGCAAGCCUGAUCCAGCCAUACCGCGUGGGUGAAGAAGGCCUUCGGGUUGUAAAGCCCUUUUGUUGGGAAAGAAAAGCAGCAGGUUAAUACCCCGCUGUUCUGACGGUACCCAAAGAAUAAGCACCGGCUAACUUCGU
rnacentral:rRNA from 1 species